UACGUAGGGUGCAAGCGUUGUCCGGAAUUAUUGGGCGUAAAGAGCUCGUAGGCGGUCUGUCACGUCGGCUGUGAAAUCCCGAGGCUCAACCUCGGGUCUGCAGUCGAUACGGGCAAACUAGAGUAUUGCAGGGGAGACUGGAAUUCCUGGUGUAGCGGUGAAAUGCGCAGAUAUCAGGAGGAACACCGGUGGCGAAGGCGGGUCUCUGGGCAAUAACUGACGUGAGGAGCGAAAGCGUGGGGAGCGAACAGG
rnacentral:rRNA from 1 species